CAGGCGCCCCAAUAAUUUUGUGUUUCAAGGGCAAAGGCAUUCCAGCGCUGCGGUGACGAUAGACCAUGAAAUUUUAUGGCAACAGACCCUUCCCCCAGGAACUUCAGCCCAACACGCAGAGCUCAUCGCACUAACAAAAGCCCUAAAACUUGGAACAAACAAGUCAGUUAACAUUUAUACGGACAGCCACUAUGCUUUUGCAACCGCGCAUGUACACGGAUCCAUUUAUCAAGAGCGCGGUCUCCUCACAGCAGAAGGCAAGGCUAUCAAUAAUAAAGCUGAAAUUUUAGAUCUUCUAGCAGCCAUCUGGGAACCUGCAAAGCUGGCAAUCAUUCACUGCCCAGGACAUCAAAAAGGCAACUCCCUAGAGGCAAUCGGAAACUGCCUGGCUGAUGCAGCAGCCUGAGAAGCUACCCUAACUAAAAGUGAAAGUGCCUUGGAGCUACCGAUCUUGACAGAGCCCUUGCUUCCACCAGAACCCAAUUAUACUCCUAAAGAUUUGGAGUGGAUUUCCAGAAAAGGGGGAAGUAAGAUGCCGGGACAAAAGUGGUUUCAGGAUCCUGAAGACCUCCACCUAUCCUGCCGAGGCUAGGAGACGACGUAAUGGAUCAGUUGGAACAGGACCAUUUGCUGGCUUCACUCAUGGCCCUGAAACAUGUACAAAAGGAAAUAACCAGGGCCUUGAGAGAAACCUUCGCUCAUCCUCCUGUUCUUCCCCACCUCUUUCAACCAGGAGACUUAAGGCACGAGUCAAAAGGCACGAGCCUAAAACCCUGGAGCCGCGCUGGAAAGCACCACACACCAUGAUUCUGACUACGCCCAUGGCCAUGAAGGUAGAUGGUGUCCGAACCUGGAUUCAUCACUCUCAGGUUAAGAAAAACUGCAUGAAGGCGGGAACACCCCAGACUGAUACAGAACCAGAUAACAAACAGCAAUGGAAGGUUCAAAGGCACCCAGAGGAUCCUUUAAAGCUAAGACUGAUGUGGGCAUAAUAAUAAUUUUCUGGGUUUGUAUGGUGAUAAGUGUGGGGUACUGUAUGGAAUUGCAUCCCCUAUCUUUUUGGCCAUACCAAUGGGAACUCAGGGACACUGUCAUGGGAAAGGUGAUAGCAUCUAAUACCUCUUCCACUGUGCCUUGUUUUUUGUUUGAUUUAUGUGACUUGGUGGGGGACUCAUGGGGAACUUUAGUUACUAACUAUAAACAGCCAACAGGCUUCGCUCCUCCGGUCCCCGAAAACCCCUAUAUGGUUACCAAUGGAUGUGGACACAGGGAUCAAGAACAAAAAUUGGCUAACAUACCAGGGU